rnacentral:rRNA from 1 species
UACGUAGGGGGCUAGCGUUGUCCGGAAUCAUUGGGCGUAAAGCGCGCGUAGGCGGCCUCAUAAGUCCGUUGUGAAAGUCAAAGGCUCAACCUUUGAAAGCCGAUGGAUACUGUGAGGCUAGAGUCCGGAAGAGGCGAGUGGAAUUCCUGGUGUAGCGGUGGAAUGCGCAGAUAUCAGGAGGAACACCGGUGGCGAAGGCGGUUCUCUGGGCAUUACCUGACGCUGAGGAGCGAAAGUGUGGGGAGCGAACAGG